AAUUCAAAAAAACUUUCCAUUUCAGCCUAGAAAAAAGGUAACACCAUUUCGCAGAACAGCUACUGAUUUUUUUUAGCCAGAACUAACCGGAUCCGAUGAAACCACUCCUUUUCCAUCAGAACCUCAGCCCGAAGUCCAAGCUGCUUGUGAAAAGACCAUUCAAAUCGAUCGGCAGUGAAAUUGUUGGCCCCAGCAACAUCACUGUCGAGGAAAAAAGUUCUGCGGAAGCACCUGCUACGAAGUAUUGGGUUUUUGGUAAUAUUUGGUCAACCUCAACUACCGAUGCAAUUUCACGGCAUAUAUGAGCUUGACAACUUCAUUUCUACGGAAGAUUCAAGCAUUGAAACCGAAAUCGCUAGCCAUCGGCGGAAGAAGGCAUAACGUAGAAAUGGCAAAUCAGCUGGUCGGUGGUCUUAGGCUCCCCGCCACAAUAAGGUCAAUGCCAAACGCAAGUGCAAUGCGCUUUCGUCUCCGAACCAUAACAGGCCAUUUUUCGCGGGUAAUCCAAUCAAUGGGCAGGCAAGCAACUCAAUGAUUCGGCUUUCUUUAUAGGGCUCUACUGGAUACUAAAAAAGAACCUCUACAAAUGACCAGAAGAAGAGCAAUGUUUUACUUGAGGCCCGAAUUCGGAAGCAUGGAGUG